UUCAGAAGAAAAUCUAUUAUAAAAGUCAACAAUUGAAAUAAAUAAAUAAAUAAAUAAAUACAUUCUGAUAAAUAGACAUGUUUUCCAGUCUGAACAUGCUAUUUUCAUCAGGAAACAGCUCGCCCUAGGCUAGGUGAGCAGGUUUUUAAAAAUGUGCACCAUUCAGGGCAGGAUUUGAUUGGCUGGCACGGCGCCAAGGCAUUGUCACUCACAGAGUGUAAACAAGGCUCUGAUUGGCUGCUGUCCAGUCCGCAUUGGGCUGUCUGAAAGAAAAAAGCAAUAACUGGCGUUGCGGUUUCAAGGCGUCCCGGGGUUAGAUGAUGAAAGAUAAGACGGAGACUGUUUCAAGGCGCUCCGAAAGGCGGACCCUUAUGGCCCAGGAGUCAUUUGUGUCAGGCGUGAAGUGAAGGCGCCUCGGCAAACGGGGAGAAAUAGUCCUAUUUAUAUUGUUUAAAAAAAAAAAAAAGAAAGAAAGAAAGAAAAAAAAAAACGGCACAUGGUAGGAUUCUGGUUAAUGUAAUAGCAUGUCACCGGCUCUUGGGAAAACCAGGACGGUGGGGCGCCAACUGCGAAUCACUAGGCGGAUUAACGCGAGCAUUUCUGCUUAAGGGAAAAAGUGGAGAAUAUGGAAGAAUUGGAUCAACUAGGAAGUGAUAACUGCAGCAGAGAGAUGGAUGUUUCUUUAGAAACACACCAGGUCCUACAAUGAGGAUUUGUCCUUGGCCAGCGAAGCAUGUCUGAUUGACACACACGCUUCCGGCUGUCAUCCACUACCAACAACCAGAACUGGAUUUUUUUUCUGCUUUUCUGUCAUUGUUUCCAGUCAGUAGAGGCGUGGCAAAGUAGAUAAUUUAUCACUAUUAUUAUUAUGAUUAUGAUUAUUAUUAGGCUGCAUACCUACAGUUUUUCAAGAACAAUGCAAUGUGCUGUAUCUAUAGACUAGAGUGUAUAUGUAUACAUUUAAAGCCUCAGGCUUUUAAUGAUUUCAGUUCUUAAUUCAAGAAUUCAAUAUUUGACGAUACUACUAAAUCUGCCAUGAUACUAUUUCGAUUCAUAAGACAACGAUUCAAUAUAUAACCACCUUUGUUUGCAAAUGAUGAUCACGUAGUGAAAGAUUAUUUUAAAAGUAUUAGCAUUGCAGGCAAAUCACCUUGCUAGCCUAUUAAAUUAUUUACACAUCAGUUUAAAAAUAUGAAUUAUUUCCACACCAGUUGUCUGUCUUUUUUAUUUUAAAAAAUUGAUUUAUAAUCAAACAUAAUCAGUAAUAAUCGAUUUACGAUUGUUGCCCUGGUUCAUUUCAGUCGUUGCCGUUUUGGUACAACGAUCCAUUGUCCGAUUGUUACACCCGUACUCAGAAAAAAAGAGUACUGUACCUUUCCUUGUCACUGGUGUAGUACCCUUAUCUCUUUUACCUUUAAUGUGUCUUUCACCUGGAAAUGUGGAUCUUGUGUACCUUUAAAAAGGAUUUAACAUUCAUAUUUGUACCAUAAUAGUAAACAUUUAAAGGUAAAAGAUACAGGCUAAAUGUACAAAAGGUGUAUGCUUGAGAGUACCUCCCCAACGACAAGGAAUGGUACAGUGUAAUACUCUUUUUUCGUAAGAGUGUGGAAGUUUUUGAAAAGAUUUAAAUAUAGAACAAGUGUGAGCCUUUAACGCCAUCCACAGCACGCAUAUUGUGCUCUAAAUGCAAAAUGAGAUCAACACAUCGAGAUAACGCUAGAAUUAAAAUGAAUAAAUGAACAUGUACGGGAUACAAAAUUAUGCAAUAAACAAGUUAGCUCCUGCAGACAAAUGUAAGCUGUGCGCUUGUGUGUAUAAAUAGCUGAUACAUGGUGUGAUCAAUAGGACUUAUAUAAGCAUUUUGAACAUUGGUAUUUUCACAUUGGUAAAAUGUUGACAGUGAAAAAAGUGUUGACUCUACAAUUUGGGCUCUCACUUGUGAACGUGUAUACGUAAUUGUUUAGUCAUAAAUUUUCAUAAUAACUCGGGAAAAGCUGCAACAAGCUUAGAACAGCAAACCAAGCAUCAACCUCAGCUGACUCAUAUUAUCCUUUUGGGGGAAAAAAAAAAAUCCAUAUAAUCUGUAUGAAUAAUUUAAAACGACCGUGCCCUGACAGGUUUAGAUUGGAAGCCAUUUUGAGCUGCCAUAAUUGAAAACGCUGAAAGACGUGAGAUUAGCUGAACUUUUAGGGUCUCUUGCCCUUAAUAUUUAUAUAAAAAGACUAGUAAAUUAUGUAGCCAUUUUUUAAUAAUAGAUUAUGAAGCUCAGAAUGCAGAGUGGUAUUAAAAUAACUCCAUUUGGUUGAUUCUUUUGUGCAGUUAUAUUAUUAAAUAAAGCUUUGCAUGCCCACCAACAGCACAUGAAUGUCAGGUGCAGGGUCUUUUUAAGCCCAGCAUGUUAACUGGAAUACAGUUUUCUCUUUUCUCUCAUGGCAUGUUUGUUCUUUGAGAAUACACUGUUCUAAAGCGUU